rnacentral:rRNA from 1 species
AUGUCGUCGAUCAAACUGGAGUUGGUGUGCUGGAAUGUGCGUGGCUUGAACAGUCCGGCGAAGAAGAAGGCGUUGCGUGAAUUUGCGGACUCGACGCACCCGGCUAUGUUUUGUAUUCAGGAGACUAAGCUAGCGUGUAUCGAUACUUUUACGAUUAUGCAAUGCCUUGGCCCAUCGUAUGAUGGUUUUUUCUACUUACCGGCCUCGGAUACGAGGGGUGGGAUUCUUUUAGCUUGGAACUCG